GCUGGGGCUCAGUGGUAGAGUGCUUUCCUAGCAUGCAUGAGGCCCUGGGUUUGAUCCCAGCACCAAUA
rnacentral:tRNA from 1 species